rnacentral:rRNA from 1 species
UACGUAGGGGGCUAGCGUUGUCCGGAUUUAUUGGGCGUAAAGAGCGUGUAGGCGGCUUGGCAAGUCUGCUGUGAAAACUCGAGGCUCAACCUCGAGCUGUCGGUGGAAACUGCCUGGCUAGAGUCCGGAAGAGGAGAGUGGAAUUCCUGGUGUAGCGGUGAAAUGCGCAGAUAUCAGGAAGAACACCUAUGGCGAAGGCAGCUCUCUGGGACGGUACUGACGCUGAGACGCGAAAGCGUGGGGAGCAAACAGG